CUAUCACCCAAGUGGGGGACUCAGGUGCUGGAAUGUCAGGAAUCUGGGUUCACGCUGCAGGCGCUGUGUUGAGGCUGCGCCCGCCUCAAGACCGCUGUGCCCACUGUUGCCAACGGGCAGCUGUUGGUGACUUGGGGCCUAAGGAGGGGGGUACAGCGUCAGGCCGGCAACGGAGCAGCGAAAACCUUCCGCAGUGGUCAGUGAGGGGAACACGCGGCU
rnacentral:SRP_RNA from 16 species